rfam:Clostridium difficile 630 complete genome
GGUCAAGUUAUUAAGGGUGCAGGGCGGAUGCCUUGGCACUAGGAGCCGAUGAAGGACGUGAUAAGCUGCGAUAAGCUUCGGGGAGUUGCACGUAAACUUUGAUCCGAAGAUUUCCGAAUGAGGAAACUCACUUAGAGUAAUGUCUAAGUAUCAUUAAGUGAAUACAUAGCUUAAUGAGGGGAACUCAGGGAACUGAAACAUCUAAGUACCUGAAGGAAGAGAAAGAAAUUCGAUUCCGUAAGUAGCGGCGAGCGAACGCGGAUUAGCCCAAACCAAUAAAGUUUUCUUUAUUGGGGUUGCGGACAUAUCAUAACGAAGAGGUAUCGUAAUUGAAGAGGUUUGGAAAGACCCACCACAGAAGGUAAUAGUCCUGUAUGUUAAACGAGAAGACUUUAGAUAUGAUCCAGAGUACCACGGGACACGUGAAACCCUGUGGGAAGCAGGAGGGACCACCCUCCAAGGCUAAAUACUACCUAGUGACCGAUAGCGUAUAGUACCGUGAGGGAAAGGUGAAAAGAACCCCGGGAGGGGAGUGAAAUAGAACCUGAAACCCUGCACUUACAAGCUGUGGAAGCACAUUUCUUGUGUGACCGCGUACUUUUUGUAGAACGGGCCAACGAGUUACGUUAAGUAGCAAGGUUAAGCACUUAAGGUGUGGAGCCGUAGCGAAAGCGAGUUUUAACUGAGCGUUCAGUUACUUGACGUAGACCCGAAACCGGGCGACCUACCCAUGAGCAGGAUGAAGCGAAAGUAAAAUUUCGUGGAGGUCCGAACCCACGAGCGUUGAAAAGCUCGGGGAUGACUUGUGGGUAGCGGUGAAAUUCCAAUCGAGCCCGGAGAUAGCUGGUUCUCCCCGAAAUAGCUUUAGGGCUAGCCUCAAGGUGAGAGAUACGGAGGUAGAGCACUGAAUGUCCUAGGGGGUAUUGCACCUACCGAAGACUAUCAAACUCCGAAUGCCGUCAUCUUAUACUUGGGAGUCAGACUGUGGGUGAUAAGAUUCAUAGUCGAAAGGGCAACAGCCCAGAUCGUCAGCUAAGGUCCCUAAAUGUAAGUUAAGUGGUAAAGGAUGUGGGAUUGCACAGACAACCAGGAUGUUGGCUUAGAAGCAGCCACUCAUUCAAAGAGUGCGUAAUAGCUCACUGGUCGAGUGAUCCUGCGCCGAAGAUUUCCGGGGCUAAAACUUACUACCGAAGCUACGGCAUCAGUAAUGAUGGGUAGGGGAGCUUCCCAUACGGGUUGAAGCAUGACCGUAAGGACAUGUGGACAGUAUGGGAGUGAGAAUGUUGGCAUGAGUAGCGAGAUGUGGGUGAGAAUCCCACAGGCCGUAAACCCAAGGUUUCCAGGGGAAGGUUCGUCCGCCCUGGGUUAGUCGGGACCUAAGCUGAGGCCGAAAGGCGUAGGUGAUGGACAACAGGUUGAUAUUCCUGUACUACCGAUAACCGUUUGAGAGAAGGGAUGACACAGUAGGAUAAGCUAAGCACACUGUUGGUUAUGUGUGCCCAAGCAUUGAGGCAGUCAAAGUAGGCAAAUCCGCUUUGAUAAUGCUGGGAUGUGAUGGGGAGCGAAAUUUAGUAGCGAAGUAGCUGAUUUCACACUGUCAAGAAAAGUCUCUAUCGAGGUUAAAGGUACCCGUACCGCAAACCGACACAGGUGGGUGAGGAGAGUAUCCUAAGGCCAGCGAGAGAACUGUUGUUAAGGAACUCGGCAAAAUGACCCCGUAACUUAGGGAUAAGGGGUGCCACCAUCAGGUGGCCGCAGAGAAUAGGCCCAAGCGACUGUUUACCAAAAACAUAGGUUUCUGCUAAGUCGCAAGACGAUGUAUAGGAGCUGACGCCUGCCCGGUGCUGGAAGGUUAAGGGGAUCUGUUAGAGCAAUCGAAGCAGUGAACUUAAGCCCCAGUAAACGGCGGCCGUAACUAUAACGGUCCUAAGGUAGCGAAAUUCCUUGUCGGGUAAGUUCCGACCCGCACGAAAGGCGUAACGAUUUGGGCACUGUCUCAACAACAGACUCGGUGAAAUUGUAAUUCCGGUGAAGAUGCCGGAUACCUGCGACAGGACGGAAAGACCCCAUGGAGCUUUACUGUAGCUUGACAUUGGGUCUUGGUACUACAUGUACAGGAUAGGUGGGAGGCUUUGAAACCAGGACGCCAGUUUUGGCGGAGCCAUCCUUGGGAUACCACCCUUGUAGUACUGGGACUCUAACCAUAGGCCAUGAAUCUGGUCUUGGGACACUGUCAGGUGGGCAGUUUGACUGGGGCGGUCGCCUCCCAAAAGGUAACGGAGGCGCUCAAAGGUUCUCUCAGUACGGUCGGAAAUCGUACGUAGAGUGUAAAGGCAAAAGAGAGCUUGAUUGCAAGACAUACAGGUCGAGCAAGGAUGAAAAUCGGACUUAGUGAUCCGGUGGUUCUGCGUGGAAGGGCCAUCGCUCAACGGAUAAAAGCUACCCUGGGGAUAACAGGCUUAUCUCCCCCAAGAGUCCACAUCGACGGGGAGGUUUGGCACCUCGAUGUCGGCUCAUCACAUCCUGGGGCUGUAGUAGGUCCCAAGGGUUGGGCUGUUCGCCCAUUAAAGUGGUACGCGAGCUGGGUUCAGAACGUCGUGAGACAGUUCGGUCCCUAUCCGUCGCAGGCGUAGGAAAUUUGAGAAGACCUGUCCUUAGUACGAGAGGACCGGGAUGGACAUACCUCUGGUGUACCAGUUGUCCUGCCAAGGGCAUGGCUGGGUAGCUAUGUACGGAAUGGAUAAGCGCUGAAAGCAUCUAAGCGCGAAGCCAACUUCAAGAUAAGAUUUCCCACCGCAAGGGUAAGACCCCAGAAAGACUAUCUGGUUGAUAGGUCGAAGGUGUAAGUGCAGCAAUGUAUUUAGCUUAUCGAUACUAAUAGGUCGAGGACUUGACCAA